AGUAUGGUAAGGCACCCACAAAUAGCAUCCAGGAGUUUGAAAACCAUCACAUUCACUUAGUUUCGUAUACACCUACUGGGGAUGAUGUGAAUGUGAAACAGAAGAGUAAAACUAAAUCAUGGUGUUAGUGAGCUUUUCUAUACGAAUACGAACAGCCAUAGUAGAGUAAAACUCUAAGCUUAGGAACGAUGGGUAUGUUGGUGAUACCUAGAAAUUUUAUUAAAUAUUUAAGAUAAUAUACUCCAAAUAAUCAAAUAUUGAAUUUCAUAAAUUGGGAAACUUGGGAGAUUGGAUACUCCAAAUAAUCAACUAUUGAACUUCAUAAAUUGGAAAAUUUGGGAGACUGGAAAUGUACCACAGUGAUGAGAUUGCUUAGGUAAUUAAAAAUUGAUCCUUGUAGUGAGAAUAGGAAAUGAUGUUUUCAAAAAAUGUGGUAUAGUAAUAACAAUUGCUUACACUAUUAUUGUAAGACAUUAGACAUUAAUGAAUCUUGAAGAUCACUAUAGCCCAAGACAGUAUUCCUUUUGCUUGAUCAAAUCUUCUAAAGAAAUUACAAUGAGUCACCAAUAGCUAUAAGUGUUAAAAUAUUUAGAAUUGAGAAACCGAACCUUAGCAAUUAUACCCUAGUCAAGGAAGUUAGGAAAAAAAUUAUUACAAACUAAAUAAAUCUUUUCAGUAAUAAUAUUACAAUGAGACCAUCAGUUGAGGAGGAACAUGAGACAAAUAAGUAUGUUUUGAACCCCGUGCUCGCUAUAAAUUUAAAGAACUAAAUUUCUUUUAAGGGAGAAAAUUUGUAACACACAGCUAGCCCAAUCCAAAAGACCCAAUCCCAUAGGCCAACCCCACUAUUCUCUCCGAUAACACAGCAAAAAGGGGUGUGUUGUAAGGUCUUAAGUGGAUGGUGAGGAUUGGAAUGGUAGGAGGAUGAAGGGCUAAGAUUGGAUGGGAAGGGAGAUAUAUAAAUAGGGAUGGACAGAGAAAAAAAAACAAAAAAGGGGAGCAAAAAGAGAGGGGUCGGUCGACAGAGAAGGAGAGAGAGUGAAGAAAUUAAAGGAGAGAUUGAGAGCGGAAGUGGAAGAAACGUGUGACUGAAGAAGCUCUUACCGAGCUAGGAGAAGAUGGAGACUGGAGGUAAAUAAAUUCUGAAUUUUAGACUUUGUAUGGCGAUAUGGUGUGAAUUUACAUCUGGUUGAUUUAAUGGUUGAUUGCUGAUUCUGAAGGAGUAAAGAGGCAGAGAAUGGUGAAUAUAACAUGUAUAAGGGUAGAGGGACGAAAGGUGAGGUGGAUGGCAGGAAUGUGAAAACAUGGGUUAGGGGAUAGAGAUUGUUUAGUUGUGAAAGUGAAAGGAGGAGGUCAACCGCAGAGAAAAAGUGUGGUAAAUAGUGUGAUUAGGUUCUUUCGGUGAAGGAGGAGCUGAGGUAAAAUGUGUGUGAAGUAGAGGCGCUAAGUAGGAGAGUGAGUCUACAUGAAACCGGGAAUGAUGAUGUGCGUUGUUGUUUCGAAGUCUUGAGGUGCCGAAAUUGGUGUCGGUGAUUCAGAGUGUUGGUGCGCCGAUAUUGGCGACAGCGGAGGGAGAAAGUUUGAUGCAUCAAUACUGGUGCUAGUGAAAAUAUGCGUUUGUGGCUAACUGGGAGCCGAGGUGUGUGAGUGUGGACUAUAUCCUGUGAGUUCAGGAAAUGUGUAUGUGUUUGUAUAUGUGUAUAUUGCGGAUUUUUGUGUGUGGCCGACUGGGGGCCAAUGUGCUGGUGUAUGAAUUGUGUUUUAUGACAUUCUGGUUAUGUGACUGAAUGGGCAAGUGUGGUGUGUGUGGCUGGUUGAGGCCGGAUGUGUGUAUGUGGCAAAAAUUAAGGUCGGUGAGUGUGUGUGUGUGGGGCAAAAAUUAAGGCCGUUAAGUGUGUGUGUGUCGCUGAGUGAAGGUUGGUGUGUGUGGCUGGUUGAGGCUGGAAUAUGCAUAUGUGGUAAAAAUUAAGGCCAGUGAGUGUGUGUGGAUGAGUUAGAGUCACCGUGUGUAUGUGAGGCUAAAUUUAAGCCGGUGCGCGUGUGUGGAUAAAUUUGAGUCGAUGUGUGUGUGUGUGGUGGCUAAACUAGGGCCAAAGUAUGGAGGUAGGAGAAGCGGUUGAUAAUUGGUGGUGGUGCAGUUGUUGGAGGUAUGUGGGUGUGGGUGGCAUUGGGGUUGAAAACAUAUAGGACUAGUGUAGGUGUAUGUGUGGCCAAGCAAAGGAUGUUAUGUGUGGAAGGGAG
rnacentral:lncRNA from 1 species